GAUGAACGCUGGCGGCGUGCCUAAUACAUGCAAGUCGAGCGAAUGGAUUAAGAGCUUGCUCUUAUGAAGUUAGCGGCGGACGGGUGAGUAACACGUGGGUAACCUGCCCAUAAGACUGGGAUAACUCCGGGAAACCGGGGCUAAUACCGGAUAACAUAUUGAACCGCAUGGUUCGAAAUUGAAAGGCGGCUUCGGAUGUCACUUAUGGAUGGACCGGCGUCGCAUUAGCGAGUUGGUGAGGUAACGGCUCACCAAGGCAACGAUGCGUAGCCGAGCUGAGAGGGUUAACGGCCACACUGGGACUGGGAACCGGCCGAGACUCCGACGAGAGGCGGCAGUAGAGAAUCUUCCGCAAUGGACGAAAGUCUGACGGAGCAACGACGCGUGAGUGAUGAAAGCUUUCGGGUCGUAAAACUCUGUUGUUAGGGAAGAACAAGUGCUAGUUGAAUAAGCUGGCACCUUGACGGUACCUAACCAGCAAGCCACGGCUAACUACGUGCCAGCCGCCGCGGUAA
rnacentral:rRNA from 1 species